GUUCAAACUGGAGAGUUUGAUCCUGGCUCAGAAUGAACGCUGGCGGCGUGCCUAACACAUGCAAGUCGAGCGGUAAGGCCCCUUCGGGGGUACACGAGCGGCGAACGGGUGAGUAACG
rnacentral:rRNA from 1 species